AUACAUGCUUAUCUGUGUCCCUGCAGCACAGAAGCAGUCAUUAGUAGCACAGGUAUAUUUGUAGCAAUAGACAACAAUACAUUGUAUGGGUCACAAUUAUACAUUUCUCUUUUAUGACAAAAAUCAUUAGGAUAUUAAGUAAAGAUCAUGUUCCAUGAAGAUAUUUAGUAAAUUUCCUACCGUAAAUAUAUCAAAACUUAAUUUUUGAUUAGUAAUAUGCAUUGCUAAGAACUUCAUUUGAACAACUUUAAAGAUGAUUUUCUCAAUAUUUAGAUUUUUUUGCUCCCUCAGAUUCCAGAUUUUCAAAUAGUUGUAUCUCAGACAAAUAUUGUCCUCCUAACAAACCACACAUCAAUGGAGAGAUUAUUUAUUCAGCUUUCAGAUGAUGCAUACUUCUCAAUUUAAAAAACUGACCCUCAUGACUGGUUUUGUGCUCCAGGGUCACAUACACACACACAUAUAUAUAUAUAUAUAUAUAUAUAUAUAGUUUAAAUAAAAAAAAUUAUAAAAUAUAAUCUAAACUAAAUGAAAAUGGAAAAUGUUGCCUUGGCAAAUAGCUGAAAUAUAUUUUAUUCUAUAUUAUAUUUAAAUUUGAUAAUGUUUUUUUUUAUAUACUGUUAAUUAUAGUUAGAGUUUUGUUGACUAUAAUAACUCCUGUGUUUUAAUUGACAGGAAAUCCUGGAAGAAGUGGUUCGUGAACUGCACAAGGUGAAGGAUGAGAUCAUUGAUGCCAUUAGACAUGAGCUCAGCAGAAUCAGCAGCACAUAGUGUGCAUCUCCUCGAGAGCCCAAGCCCUGCAGACCCUGCUGUAGCCUCCAGAGCCGGACGUUACGGCCGCAUUAAAGCACACGGACCCACGCCGUCCUCGUUUUAACACGUCUGCAACGUCCCUGAGCAAGCGCGGACACUCUUCCUGCUGGACCUGAUCUCAGUGGCAGUCUUUUCAGAGUCUUCUGCAGAAACUGAAGAAAACAGAACAAACAUCUGGAGUCCUUUACUUUGUAUGCAUCACCAUUAUUGUUAUUAUUAUGAUUAUUAUUAUUAUUAUAGGUGUAGUAGUGUUUUCAUGUAGCUAGAGGUAGACAUAGGAAUUAAUAAUAAUAAUAAUAAUAAUAAUGAUAUCAUUGCACAUCCCUUUGAUAUUUUUACUGUUUUAAUGUUCCUUAAGAUCAUCAUAAGCACACUUCUCAUUACCUCGGUUUUUUAAGAGUUUGUUUUUAUCCUUUUUGCCAUAAUGAUGUAUGAAAUCACUGAAGGAGGGUUUUUAAAAGCGUUUGAGGAUGCGUAUGAGUUAUUAUCUGACAGACAAACAUCACACACCAGAGUAUUUGUGAUCAUGUUGUUAAUAAAAUGUUUAUUGGCUGCGAGGAUAUGGUGAAG
ensembl:lncRNA